CGAACGAGAUUUUUUCCUGUAGCAAUACAGGGAAAAGUCUAGUGGCGAACGGGUGCGUAACACGUGGGCAAUCUGCCUUAAAGUGGGGGAUAGCUCGGCGAAAGCCGAAUUAAUACCGCAUGUGAUCAGGGGAGACAUCUUCCCGAAAUCAAAAGUGGCGCAAGCUACUGCUUUUUGAGGAGCCCGCGGCCUAUCAGCUAGUUGGUGAGGUAACGGCUCACCAAGGCUUUGACGGGUAGCUGGUCUGAGAGGACGACCAGUCACACUGGAACUGAGACACGGUCCAGACACCUACGGGUGGCAGCAGUCGAGAAUUUUUCUCAAUGGGGGAAACCCUGAAGGAGCGACGCCGCGUGGAGGAUGAAGGUCUUCGGGUUGUAAACUCCUGUCAUUUGGGAACAAUGCUUACGUAUUAACUGUACGUGAGUUGAUAGUACCAGAAGAGGAAGAGACGGCUAACUCUGUGCCAGCAGCCGCGGUAAUACAGAGGUCUCAAGCGUUGUUCGGAUUCAUUGGGCGUAAAGGGUGUGUAGGUGGCGCCGUAAGUCGGGUGUGAAAUUUCGGAGCUUAACUCCGAAACUGCAUUCGAUACUGCGGUGCUUGAGGACUGGAGAGGAGACUGGAAUUCAUGGUGUAGCAGUGAAAUGCGUAGAGAUCAUGAGGAAGACCAGUGGCGAAGGCGGGUCUCUGGACAGUUCCCUGACACUGAAACACGAAGGCCAGGGGAGCAAACGGGAUUAGAUACCCCGGUAGUCCUGGCAGUAAACGGUGCAGUUUGGUGGGGGAGGAUCGAACCCUUCUGCGCCGGAACUAAGGCGUUAAACGUGCCCCCGGGGAUACGGUCCCAA
rnacentral:rRNA from 1 species